rnacentral:rRNA from 1 species
AUACGUAGGGGGCGAGCGUUGUCCGGAAUGACUGGGCGUAAAGGGCGUGUAGGCGGUUGUCUAAGUCUGGAGUGAAAGGCCUGCUUUCAAGGUGGGGAUAGCUUUGGAUACUGGAUGACUUGAGUGCGGAAGAGGUAAGGGGAAUUCCCAGUGUAGCGGUGAAAAGCGUAGAGAUUGGGAGGAACACCAGUGGCGAAGGCGACUUACUGGGCCGUAACUGACGCUGAGGCGCGAAAGCGUGGGGAGCGAACAGGAUUAGAUACCCUGGUAGUCCACGCGGUAAACGAUGAAUGCUAGGUGUUGCGGGUAUCGACCCCUGCAGUGCCGGAGUAAACACAAUAAGCAUUCCGCCUGGGGAGUACGGCCGCAAGGUUGAAACUCAAAGGAAUUGACGGGG